rnacentral:tRNA from 1 species
GUUUAAGUAGCUUAUAUAGAGCGUAACAUUGAAGCUGUUAAGGAGAUUGAUGAUUCUUAAACA